rnacentral:rRNA from 1 species
AGUGGAGCAUGUGUUUAAUUCGAGACGAAACGAAAGACCUCACCUAGCCUUGACAUGCUACCGUUUAAGCACUCAGAAAUGAGAGCCUAUCACUAGAAAUAAUGAUGGUAGCACAGGUGUUGCAUGGCCGUCGUCAGCUCGUGCCGUAGGGUGUUCCCUUCAGUGGGGUAACGAGCGCAACCCUUGCCGCAAGUUGAAUAUUCUUGUGGGACUCCUAAAUUUAUUUAGGGGGAAGUGAGGACGACGUCAGGUCAGCAUGGCCCUUAUAGCUAGGGCAACACACAUAUUACAAUGGAGCCGACAGAGGGUUGCCAAGGAGCAAUCCGGAGCUAAUCCCAUCAAACGGCUUCUCAGGUGGGGAUUGGGGCUGCAACUCGCCCCCAUGAACGUGGAAUUGGUAGUAAUCGCGAAUCAGCAUGUCGCGGUGAAUACGUUCUCGGGUCUU